AUUGAACGCUGGCGGCAGGCUUAACACAUGCAAGUCGAGCGGGGAAGGUUGCUUCGGUAACUGACCUAGCGGCGGACGGGUGAGUAAUGCACCGGAACGUAUCCAAUAAUGGGGGAUAACGCAGCGAAAGCUGUGCUAAUACCGCAUACGCCCUGAGGGGGAAAGCGGGGGAUCGCAAGACCUCGCGUUAAUGGAGCGGCCGAUGCCGGAUUAGCUAGUUGGUGGGGUAAAGGCUCACCAAGGCGACGAUCCGUAGCUGGUCUGAGAGGACGAACAGCCACACUGGGACUGAGACACGGCCCAGACUCCUACGGGAGGCAGCAGUGGGGAAUUUUGGACAAUGGGCGCAAGCCUGAUCCAGCCAUGCCGCGUGAGUGAAGAAGGCCUUCGGGUUGUAAAGCUCUUUCGCAAGGAAAGAAAACUUAGCCACUAAUACUGGCUGAGGAUGACGGUACCUUGAUAAGAAGCACCGGCUAACUACGUGCCAGCCGCCGCGGUAACAC
rnacentral:rRNA from 1 species